rnacentral:tRNA from 1 species
GGGGGUGUAGCUCAGCUGGCAGAGCGCCACGUUCGCAACGUGGAAGUCGGCGGUUCGAAUCCGCUCACCUCCACCC